UUCAGUGUCACCCCCACAUUCAGCGUUGUCAGCUUUGACAGCUUUUGGACCAUGUUGGAGGAGUCAAAUCUGUUUGACUUUUGAAGGUGUGUGCGGCCCAGAUUUCUUGUUAGAACCAAGAGAUUAGGUAUGUGAGGCACGGAGUUGUUGGACCAGAUGUAUUGUGUAACUGGCGAGAAGGGUUUAUUUCUUUCUGUUUCUCUUUCAAGGGGAAUAUUAAUGUUGCCUCUGAGUCUUCAGGAGGGGAGCCUGUGAACAACGCUGCAGCAGAAGGAGGUUUGCCUGGCACUGAGAGCUCUGGGAACAGUUCCCAGGAACCCGAGGAGCUUGAUAUCCAUCUGAUCUACCUGGCCAGGAGGGCUGCCCUGCAUGCCAAGGAGAAACCGAAGGAGAGCCUGUGACCACCGGGCACGUGGAUUUGCUCUGUUUAUCGAUAUAUUUAGAGACUUCUAUAGUUAUAUUUUUAUAUCCAUGUUGUUAAUUUUAUAGAUUUUCAGAUUUGCAUUUAUAUAUGUAUAGGGUAAUAAUAAUAUAUAUCUAUAUGUUAUUAUUUUUAUUUAAUCGUAAUAAAUUUUAAUAAUUCUUAAUUCAUUA
rnacentral:lncRNA from 12 species